UACGUAGGGUGCAAGCGUUGUCCGGAAUUAUUGGGCGUAAAGAGCUCGUAGGCGGUCUGUUACGUCGGCUGUGAAAACCUGGGGCUCAACCCCGGGCCUGCAGCCGAUACGGGCAGACUAGAAUUCGGUAGGGGAGACUGGAAUUCCUGGUGUAGCGGUGAAAUGCGCAGAUAUCAGGAGGAACACCGGUGGCGAAGGCGGGUCUCUGGGCCGAUAUUGACGCUGAGGAGCGAAAGCUAGGGGAGCGAAUGGG
rnacentral:rRNA from 1 species